rnacentral:rRNA from 1 species
GAUGAACGCUGGCGGCGUGCCUAAUACAUGCAAGUCGAGCGAACGGACGAGAAGCUUGCUUCUCUGAUGUUAGCGGCGGACGGGUGAGUAACACGUGGAUAACCUACCUAUAAGACUGGGAUAACUUCGGGAAACCGGAGCUAAUACCGGAUAAUAUUUUGAACCGCAUGGUUCAAAAGUGAAAGACGGUCUUGCUGUCACUUAUAGAUGGAUCCGCGCUGCAUUAGCUAGUUGGUAAGGUAACGGCUUACCAAGGCAACGAUGCAUAGCCGACCUGAGAGGGUGAUCGGCCACACUGGAACUGAGACACGGUCCAGACUCCUACGGGAGGCAGCAGUAGGGAAUCUUCCGCAAUGGGCGAAAGCCUGACGGAGCAACGCCGCGUGAGUGAUGAAGGUCUUCGGAUCGUAAAACUCUGUAUUAGGGAAGAACAUAUGUGUAAGUAACUGUGCACAUCUUGACGGUACCUAAUCAGAAAGCCACGGCUAACUACGU